UACGGAGGGUGCGAGCGUUAUCCGGAUUCACUGGGUUUAAAGGGUGCGUAGGCGGGCAUGUAAGUCAGUGGUGAAAUCUCUGAGCUUAACUCAGAAACUGCCAUUGAUACUAUGUUUCUUGAAUUUUCUGGAGGUCAGCGGAAUAUGUCAUGUAGCGGUGAAAUGCUUAGAUAUGACAUAGAACACCAAUUGCGAAGGCAGCUGGCUACAGGGAUAUUGACACUGAGGCACGAAAGCGUGGGGAUCAAGCAGG
rnacentral:rRNA from 1 species